GGAGGCUGAAGCGUAUGGUCUGCCGCCUGCUUUUCUGAUCCGACUCCAGUAUGUAGCCGGAGCUCUCCUUCCUCAAGGUGCCCGAAUUGUGCGACUCCAGACCCAGAGGCACCGGAGGCACCACAGACGCCCGAAACGGCUUCAGUUUUCUCAUCUGUAUGCUGAACUCAGCUACUCGGGACCUCUAGUUGAGGUCGUGAAGAUACCGACACUCAUGUCAAACAACAGUCCCUGGGAUUCUAACCUACAGGCUAAUGUUGUUAAGCAUUUACAAGGGAGCUGAGCCAAAUCCAAUAAGAAGGCAACAAUGGAAAUAAUAUUUUGCGUUUAUUCCAGAUAGUCAGCCCACUGCCUUCCUGCCUAUUCACCGAUCUAAAUGCGUGUCUCCACAUUUUGGGAAGAUUUGAAGAUGAAAUCCUCUCCCUCUCAAGGAGACACAGAUGAGAGUAACUUGGACCUUGGGUGUGGUAAGACAAAUCCAUAGAAGAAAACAGAAAGCAUGACUGCAGUUGCCUAGAGAGAAGCAGAGAGGACAUGAGCAGUAGGAGGCAGAUACAGGCUUCCCUCAGCAUAAAGGCUCUUGUGUGUGUGUGGCUCCCCGGACCAAAUGCUCUAAGCACUGGUUUCUGAAAAGGCCCAAAGUAAAGCAGCCAUACCCAAGAGAAGGGCAAGCUGGUGUGUGUAUUCAAGGGAGAAAUGGAAUUCUUUUUCUCCCUGUGUCUAAGUGGGUAAAGACUGUAAGAUGACCUCCUCUGUUCUUUCUGUGUUAAGGUGACCAGGGAACAAUGUUUACAUGUUUAAGCCUAUGUGAGAAGCAUGAAUUAUAGCAGAUGCCCAGGGUAAUCUGAUAAUCUCCUCCUCCCCCCAUGCCAUCAACCUCAAAGUGAAGGGAAGCAUUGGGAUUUCAUGGGCAAGUUUUCUUUUAGACUCUCCUCUCAGAAAAUAGUAGUUGGGUCUAAAUCUGGUUUGCUGAUUUUUAUUCUAUUUUAUUUUGUGGCCUCGUUUUUGAUAUAGAACCAUGUGCUCUCUGACACAGUAUCUGCAGUAUGAAUCGAAGCCAAGUACACAGUUAGUUUAAUGGAGUUUUCCAGUUAGAGUCUUGGUUUAAUAUUCAAAAUCGCCUUGUUACUAUAAAUAAUGGGCACAGACAUAUCCACCAUCACUGAGCAUGUAAUAAUAUGCGAGGCAGGGCCAGCAGUAGAGGAUUUCAUGUCACCUCUUGCCAGUGAGUGAUAUUUUUAGCAAUUCUAUUUUAGAGGAGAAACUGAGACUCUAACAGUACUAGUCAUUCUUCCAAUGUGACUCAUCUGGAGAGCUUUGAAAAGGACUCAACAGCUCUUACUGGGAAAGAGGGCAAGAGAAUAUGGCCUUCAUAUGUCUUAUCUUCCCAUCCUUUGACUAUGUUUAAGAUUAAGUCAGAAAAUGUAGAAAGUGAAUUUAUAGUAUAGAGGUAGACAUCAUGGCAACUCUAGUUACAUGGGUACUUGAGAUUUAAUAUUUCGAACUAAUUUUUUUAAUUGAAAACAAUUUGAGGAAUGGUCCCUUGGAUCUCAGGCUGACUUUCAAAUCAUUUUUAGCUAAAGAUGACUAUCAACCACUGCUUCUCCUGCCUCUACCUCCCAAGAGCCGAGAUCAUAUGUAUGGACGGCUGCACCUAGCUUGGAUGGCUAUGUAUAAGACUCAGAUUUUUUUCAACAUAUAAUUGUAUCUUCCUUCCUUGGUCAGAAUCCUGGUUUCCAUCUCAGUGGACAGACAGAAGCCACUAAAACACUUUGCCCUUUGAGAGAGAAGAACUUUGAUUACAGAUUUAUCCUAGUAUCUGAGGAAUGGACACUAAGUUUUAAAGAGAUCAAAUGACGCUCAAUAAGAAGGAAGACCAAAAUGUGGAUGCUUCAUUCCUUCAUAAAAGGGAGAACAAAAUAUUUAUGGGAGGAAAUAUAGGGACAAAGAGUUGAGCAGGGAUUGAAGUAAAGGUCAUCCUUAGACUGCCCCACCUGGGGAUCCAUCCCAUAUACAGACACCAAACCCAGACACUAUUGCUAAUACCAAGAAGUGCUUGCUGACAGGAGCCAGAAAUGGAUAUCUCCUCAGAGGCUCUGCCAUGAGCCCCACUGAUACAGAUGAGAAUGCUUGCAGCAAACCAUUGGACUGAACAAGGGGACUCCAAUGGAGGAAUUAGAGAAAAGACUGAAGGGGCUGAAGGGGAUUGCAACCCCAUAGGAAGAACAACAAUAUCAACCAACCAGACCCCACCAGAGUUCCAAGGGACUAAACCACCAACCAAUGAAUAUACAUGGAGGGAUCCAUGGCUCUAGCCACAUAUGUAGCAGAGGAUGGCAUUGUCUGGCAUCAAAUAGAAGGAGAAGGCCUUGGUCCUGUGAAGGCUCAUUUCUCCAAUGUAGGGGAAUGCCAGCAUGUUGAAAUGAGAGUGGGUGGGUGGAAGUGAGAGCAUCCUCAUGGAAACGGAGAGAAGGGAGCAUGGGAGAUGGGAGGGAAGGGAUAACAUCUGAAAUGUAAAUACAUAAAAUAUCCAAGAAAAAUAAAAUUAAAAAAAAAUGACAGGACAUGAAUGACUCUAAGAGCAGCUUACCCAUCUCUGUGUUCUGUCUCUUCCUAUAAUAUUUAGAAUUUAUGGUGCUGGUCUAUAAGUUCAGAUGGAAAUGGCUAUAGAAAGCCAAACAAAUUUUAUAUUAAUUAAGACAAAAUCUGAUUUUUAAAAUGUGGGCUUCAUCCUUUCAAACAUCCUUUCAAACAAGGUAAGAAAAAUGAGAAACACUUAAGAGAAAACUGGUUUUGGUGCUGUAGUAGGUGGCUAAAUGGCUAAUGGCACUUACAAUCUUCCAGAGCAUUCUAGUUUCUAUUCCAGCACACUGAGAAUCUAACAAUGGCUUAUAACUCUAGCUCCAGGGGACCCAAGAACCUAUAUGGGCUUUGUGCUCAUGUGAAAGUCUCUCUCUCUCUCUCUCUCUCUCUCUCUCUCUCUCUCUCUCUCCCUCUGUGUCCCCCUCCCUCUCCCCAUCUCCCUCUUCCCCCCCCAAACCAGGUUCAAUUGUUAAAAAAAAUACAAACUGGCAGAACACAAUAGCAACAGCUUGUGCUGUCAAGCUACAUGAUAAUUACUGAGAAAACAUUUGUUACUCACUCACAAAGGUGUUUGUUUGAUACAUAUUUAUUGAACAUUUAAAAUAUGUCAAUUACUGUAGCAGUGCUUGUAAAACAUUUACAGGAAUUUUUAGGACAUAGCAGAAACUCGAUAAUUACCUGCUUCUUAUCUAAUUCAGCACAACAAUGAUGCAGGGAAGGAGAACUUGACAAAGCAAAGUACAAGACUGCAACUGAAAGGCCAAAUAUGCAAAUCACAUAAAAUGAAACCUGGAGCCCGGUGCUUAGAAGACAGUCCAUUGAGCCACCUUCCACCCGCUUACAAAUUCGGUAUAUUGAAUUUAUACUAUGGGAAGGAAAAUAUUACAGGAAGGAAUCUCAAGAUUCCUUAGAUUUACUUUCUGAGGAUUAUUGACAUGGUGAAUUGGGAAUAACUGAUAUAGUUUUGCUAUGAUUUAUUUUUUUUUAAGAUUUCUAAACUUCUUCAAUAAAGUCCCUUAAAAUUCACAGGAAUUCAUUUGAUAGCGUUCUUUUUCUUAAAUCAAUACUCAGCGAAGCUAACACACUUGGAAAAAUUAAUUAACUUUCUGAGGUUCCAUUGCUCAUCUCUGGCAGCACUGGGAAUAGAUGCCACAGCCAGAGCUUUGCCGUCAGCUUGUGCUUAACACUUUACCCACCAGGCUGUGAACGCCCUCUUAUGCCUUGAGAUAUUUGUUAUGGAAGAAAAGAAAAAGAAGCCGGGGUGAGAUAAAAUCUGAAUUGUGCUCCGUGCAGAACAUUUAACUUUCAUAACCUUGGUCCUCAAAGGACCUUGGCAGCCCUCCACAUCCAAAAUGCAAGUGUAGCCUGGAAUGCCAAUCUUCGGUGGCUGACCAAGAUCAUGGUGUGUAGAACAGAGUCUUGGAAAUGCCAGUGCAGAGAAUCUCAGCUCUCUAUGCCCCAUCUUCACAGCCGUAGUUCAUGAUAUUUGAGCAUUCUAAGCAACCUUCCCUCCAAAUUUCUUAUAAUGAGUAGCUUUUAAGAGGUCGUCUCUCAUGGAAAGAAUAACCAUAGGUGACAUCACUGCGCUCUGUAGGAUCUGCAAAAGAAGAAAAACAGACUUAAAGGUACCUGUUAUAACAACUGCAUGCACAAAACACGUUAGAAAUUAUCAUGUGUGCUUGUAGGACAUAGACGGGAACCGUGUAUCACAAUCACGAAGACACAGCGUUUGCCAAAUUUGUACACAGGACUGUAUUGACAAGCAGGAAAAGCUCCCUGAUUUCUACUUCCUGUGUUCCUAGAAUUAUCUUUCUCUUGAAAUACCUUCCCUUGACCGUGUCUGGGCUUCUUUGUCAGCUGUCAGACACCUGAAAUCAGUGCUCUGGACACUGAUAAAAUAUCAUAAAGUGAGUGGAAUAGAUCCUUGUAGUUCUACAAGCUAAGGAAUUGAAGACCAAGAUGGUAGAGAUUUGCUACCUAGGGAUGGCCCCCUUCUCAUUCGCCCACUUUCUGUGUCCACUGAUACUGGAAAAGCUACCUGUCUCGUGUAAGGACAUUGACCAUAUUCCUCCUAUCUUUUUCUUCAUGAAAUAGGACUAUGAAGUGUGGUUGAUAUUAUGAGGUUCUGGCUGAGCUAUUUUCUGGCUACAUGUCUAACUCAUGUCUUCAAUAAUAGGGGAAUAUCCAUAUACACAACAAUACAAUAGCAAUCUCAUACAGCAAUAAGCCUAGGCCGAUGGUUCCCAGCCAAUUUAUUUUCCCUCGUAUUAUAUGCUCUUCAUUUUUUCCUUCAGUGAAAUCUAAUUUGCUCCAUACCCAAUCGAUGAACUAAAAUGAAGUGUCUUCAGAAGGAUGGGGAAUAACUAUGGGAAGAAACCAGGCCUUCAAUGAUGCUAACAGAAUUCACCAACUCCACAUUCAUCAUCUUUAACAUUAUGACCCAGUUUCUCAGUCAUGGUGGACUUCUGGGCUACAUGCUUUUUUAUUGUGGUUGUUGUAAGUAUGUGAUCUUUUCAUUAUGGAAAUGGAAGAGGCAUAAACAGCCUUGGUCUCCAGCAUCACUUCUCUAAUAUUAACAGGUGACAUCAUUCUUGGAUGCCAUCUUGUAGUCCAUGGACUUAACAAGAAAGCAUGUCAGUAUGAUGUGAGAUUUGUCUCUAAAGUGAGGCCACUAUUAAGGUUUGUAUCUUUAAUUACUUACAGUACAUAGGGUAGAUCUUAGACACUCCCUCUCAGGGAUGGAAUUCGCUUUGGGUGUGGAGAUUAUCAAAGAUAGACUUUCCCAAAUCCAGAAUAGCGCUUUCUGCCGGUCCUCAUGGACUUGGAAAAUUUUAAGACAGAGAGAAUUCCUUAAUACUAAAAACGCAAACCACCACCAUGGAACAUCAACCCAUAAACUCUUUCCUUUGAUUAAAACUUCCGAGUAUAGUUUUAUGUCUGCAAAGCGUUUUUCAUAGGGACUUUCCUGACAUGUGGUUGAGAGCGAGCUUUUAAUGUGUGUUUACUCUAAUUACUGACAUACUGUAGCUGUUCUCUAGCGUACAAAUCUGAAUUCUCAUGGCAAAGCCAUGGCUUGUUACAGAGGUGACAUUCCAGGGACUGGGGAAACCCACUGGGUUUUGGUGAGCAGAAUUUCCUAUUUCCCAGUAUUUCUAAAUGAUUCGUUUCAAGCAGCCUGCCCUGUUGAUGAGUAUGUGUUCUGAUUAUUCACACCAAAGCACAGCUAAUCAAUUAUACUAAACAGACCUGAAGAUUAGGUAUUUUAUCCAGGAUGCUUGAAAUGGGGAGAAACAGUCUGAUUUAGUCUUCAGGUGUUGAGCUGAGACAGCAUCGUCAGAGGCAGAUCUGCUAUUUACUUUGUUUUCUUGGUUUGGCAGAUUUUGUUAGCUGCCCACAUCUCACAACCAGGAGAUUUGAUUUUUUUUCUGUUAUUAAUAAGUGGUAGCAGUUACAUCACAAAGUUCCUUUUUUAAGAUUCCUUAUUUCUCAUAUUUUUAAAAAUUUUUUAUAUAUUUUUCAUGCAUGUGUGGAUGCACACCGCAUGCAUGAAAUGCUCACACAGGCCAGAAGAGGGCACCAUAUCCCUUGGAUGUAAUUUUAUGUGGUUAGGCGCUGUCAGGGAUAGAACAUAGGACCUCUGGAAGAGUAGCCAGUGUUCUUAACUCCUGUGCCAACUUUCCAGCUCCAAGUAGAUUUUAUUCUUAACGAAACACAUGCUUUCCUUUGAUUUAUCGUUUCCCUUUGGUGUUUAACAAUUUAAGAUUUUGGAGUAAAACGGAUCUGAGUUUUAAUAUCUUUGGAGAUGGUACUUAAUGAAACUGGACCUACUUUCUGGACUCUAAAGUUGGCGUUUAUAGAAUUAAAAAAAAACCAAAUGUGUCUUGAUAUCUUAUUUAAAGAACUCAAAAUUGAAGGCAGAACCAGUGAAUGUAAACCAUAAUUUAUCUUCAAAGAUUUUUACUAGUGAUGUCAAAGAUUGGAAAUGGUGCUGGAGAGAUCGAUGGCUUAGAGGUUAACAGCACUGGCUGCUUUCCAGAGGAUUACAGAUCAGGGAGUCAGCGGUGGCUCAUAACUAUCUAUAACUCCAAUUCCAGGAUAUCCACUGCCCACUUCUGGCCUCAAUAGGUACUGCACUCAUGUCAUGGCAACGCAUCCAAGAAGACAAAACACUAUAAACACACUUUUUAAAAAAAAAAUUGGAAAUACAAUAUGUACAAUGUUUAUAGAUCAGUUUAAGAUAAAAGCAUAUUAAGAUUUUAAGUCAUGAUUGGGGAUUUAGCUCAGUGGUAGAGUGCUCGCCUAGCAAGCGCAAGGCCCUGGGUUCGGUUCCCCAGCUCAGAAAAAAAAAAAAAAAAAAAAAAAAGAAAAAAAGAAAAAAAGAAAAAAAAAGAUUUUAAGUCAUUUUUUGUGUUUAAAAUAGGCAAAUGGGUAGGAAAGAAACAAAUAUACUAACCUAAUAUUGAUAUAUCUUCAAUAUAAAUAAUUAAAAAUACCAUGUAAGUAAAAGGGGGUAAUAAUAAAUUUACUAUGUGCUUGAUAUCAGUUAGGUUGUAAUCUCUAUGAAUUUCUAUAUACUUAUAUGAUUCAUCAUGCAUAUCAUACACAUACAUCUCCGUUUCUAAUUAUAGAUACAGAGAAAAUACAUCAAAGCAUUAAUAACGGUUUGCUUAGAUCUGGAGGAAUUACAGUGAACCACUUCUUCCUUUGUAAAUUCUCAAAAUGUCCACAGGGAGAAUGUGUUAAUUUAAUGAAUUAAGAAGCUGACAGUCUUUGAGAAAGAGAGGAUAGAGCGAUGGCUCAAGGCCUUGGAGCGCAUGUGCUCUUACAGAAGAUGCAGUCCAGUUUCCAGAACCCACUUUAGGCCACUCCCAACCACCUGUAACUAUAGAUCCAGAGUAUGUGACAUCCUCCUCUGACCUCUGUGGUCACAUGCACACAUAAUUAAAACAAAUAUUAAUUUUUUAAAGAGAUAAAAUGAGAGGUGGCUGUGGUGGUAUAACUGUGUACACAAGUGGUUGCUGUACCUUUAAGUAUAUAUAAGUCGAUCUGCAAUGGUGUCCUAGGAAUCUUCUAUACUUUGCAGAGUUAUACAUUUGGUUGGGUAUAUGCAGUCUUAGUUCUUACUACAAUGAACGACUGCUGGGUUUUCCGGAAUCUGAAAUAUGGGACAACUCUGAUUAAGCAGCCAAGGCCUUGCCAGGCCCUGGCAUCUGCAAUGAAAGUCUGACAAUAUCCAAGGCAUGUGACUGUUACUCUUGAUGUAUUUAUAGCGAUGGAUCUGCUGUUGGAGGUUUUUAUCAUUUCAAUUUACCUUUCUAAACUGGGAAAUCUUGAUUUGUAUACACAUUCAUUUCUAUUCGUGACACGUUGUGGCUGGGUCCACUAAUGGCCCCCAAGCAAAUGCUAUCAAAGGAAAGAUGUAAGCCUGCGAUAUUUAUGCUGGUAUUACUGCUGACACAAGCACAUACUUUCUAUUACACUAAUGCUUGGUUUAAAUAGCAAAUGUCUGGCCCUUGACCCCUCUUCCUGUCCUGUGCCUGUCUGGGAAGUCGAGUCUGCACGCUGGCGAAUAAUUUUAGGCUCGUUCUAGUAGCUAUCACACCAGAGAGUGUACUGUCAUCCUGACAGCCUGUUUUAAAUUUCGAUACCUGGUGCUUUCCCUGAGUGCUUUGUAAAAGUUGCAUUGAUAAUUUCCAUCUCUAAUGCAGCCAUAAGAAUCUGAAAUGUCUUUUCAGAAGAGAAUAGUGGCAUGAAAGGGGGAAAUUGAAGUGAAUUAAGUCAGGAAGCUUUCUGAGCAAUCAAGGAAGAAGUUGUGUGCCACCAUGGCAUUUCAACCUGCAACUCCAGGCUUAGACUCAUCAAUUGAGCUGAUGAGCUGUGCCUGCAUGUCAGAGAAAAAAGACAGGCGACAUCUCCAAAAGCAGCCUGCUUUCUCACGGCCUGUUUUUCUAAGCACCUAAUCAAGGACAUUUAUUUUCCAUGGUUUGAGUAAAAAGGGAAAUAUCAACUGAGUGGGAUCAGUUAUUAGAAUUCUCAGUCUUGAACAUGGAAUUCUACAGCAAUCUUACAUUUCACCCACUCAAGUAUAAACACUCCCUUGUCUACUCCAUAAAUGGAGAUGUGUAAAUCUUAGUAGAAGGAAGGGUUCACCAAUAUAGAGAAGUGAAAAAGAUAACUAUCCUUUUUAUCUGUUGCUGUGACAAACCCCAUAAGCAGAAGCAACUUGGGGGAGGAAAGUUUUCUUUCAGCUAAUAGAUGACUGACAGUUUAUCACUGAGGGAAGUCAAGGCAGGAACUCAGGUAGUAUAUUGAAGCAGAAACAAUAAAGAAUCAUUGCUCUCCCUGGCUUGCUGACAUAUCCAUUCUUAGAUUUGUUAUGCAACCUAGGAUCUUUUUUCUAGGGAGUGGAGCCACCCAAAGUGAGAUGAACACUCACAUAAAUUAACAUAAAUUACAUAAAUUAACAGUCAAGACAAUCCCCAACACACAUGCCCAGGGAAUAAUUUGACAAACCAUCUAAGCCUCAUUGUCCAAACGAACUUGGUAAAGGUCAACCUUUUUGAGAACCAGUUGAUCUUCCUGUGAGGUAUGCUUGAGGCAAAAUUCAUUGAUCAUUUGAACUCUAUUAGGUUUCAUGACAACAAUUCAUCACAGGGAUAUUUUGGGGUCUCUGAGAAUUAGUGCUACUCUAUAAAUCCAGGCAGAAAAAUCUGUGGAAAACCUGAGUAUUUUCAUUCCUCAGUGCACACUUACCCUGGUCAAAGCUCAUAGAUGUAGGUCCUUUUUGGGAUGUGUGCCAGAAAGAUAAACAAUGUUAGUGUGCAGUGGCUUAGCAGGGAUCCUCUUCAAGAGUUCUUGAUUGACUUUUGAUUGGGGGUGCUCUAAACCCAUUAUACAUAGGCUCAAAUAUGGAAAGCGAUCAAAUCUCUUUUUAUAUUUUAAACAAUUAAACUUAGACAUUGUUUCUUCAACCCAGAACUCUUUGACACAGAGUUUGAGUAGGAAAUUAAUGGAUCACUCAUACAUUUUCCUCCUAGGAUAGCAGGAUCAAUACCCCAGUACUGCGGAACUAUUUGAGACAAAUUUUUCUUGUUGCUUGUUUCACUCUGAUAUGCAUUAUAGUAUGGCAUUUCAUCUUGCCUUUCAUGAGUCUGUGCUUCUAUCAGGUCCUGACACAGUUAUCCUAACAGCAUUAGAUUUCUCUGUUCUUAUAGAAUGAAGGCAAAUCCCAACAUUUUUAUUAGUUAGAGUUUACAAGAGAAAUAGAAUAACAGGAGUAAAAGAGGGACAGAGGAAUGCACAGUGUGGAAAGGAGAGGUCGGGAGAAAGAAAGAAAGAGAGAGAUUGAAAAGUUGAUUUGCACGAUCUUAGUGUCUAUCUUGCAAGUCUGGGCAAAUUUCGAGAGUUUGAGGGCAGAAGAUUGGAGAUUCAAGUCAUCUGCAACCAUGGUUUUGAUUACUGAAAAUGUUGAGAUUCUCCCUUGCAACAGAGAAAUCAAACUUCUUCAGUGGAAACCUGUGUGCUCUGAGACUUUCACCUGCUGGAAAGACUGGCCAACAUGACAUAGGGGGCCGCCUGCCUUACUGAGACUGCUUAUUCCAAUACCAUCCUCAAAGAACACUCCUGGCAGAGCAUUAGAGCAAUGUGUAUAAUGGUGUUUGACCAAAGAACCAGGCAUCAGAGCCCAUUUAAAACCCCAAAUGCAUAUGAACACUAUUCAGAGAUAAACACGUAAGACUCUGCAAGAAAGAGAUCUCUGGUUAAUAUAUCUCACGGGAGCCUCUUGCCGUUGGCUUGUAAUAAUGCAUAUCAGCAUUUCCCCUCCCUACUUAUAGGCUGUGAACCUAUAGCAUGAUAUUCAUAAAUCUUUCCAUGCUUUUUUAUAUAAUUCAAAUCUGCAUGGAGUUCUGUAACAUAAACAGUAUGAAUUUUGAGAGAAAUAAAGUCAUGAAACC